AGACCCGAAACCCGGUGAUCUAGCCAUGGGCAGGUUGAAGGUUGGGUAACACUAACUGGAGGACCGAACCGACUAAUGUUGAAAAAUUAGCGGAUGACCUGUGGCUGGGGGUGAAAGGCCAAUCAAACCGGGAGAUAGCUGGUUCUCCCCGAAAGCUAUUUAGGUAGCGCCUCGUGAAUUCAUCUCCGGGGGUAGAGCACUGUUUCGGCUAGGGGGCCAUCCCGGCUUACCAACCCGAUGCAAACUGCGAAUACCGGAGAAUGUUAUCACGGGAGACACACGGCGGGUGCUAACGUCCGUCGUGAAGAGGGAAACAACCCAGACCGCCAGCUAAGGUCCCAAAGUCAUGGUUAAGUGGGAAACGAUGUGGGAAGGCCCAGACAGCCAGGAUGUUGGCUUAGAAGCAGCCAUCAUUUAAAGAAAGCGUAAUAGCUCACUGGUCGAGUCGGCCUGCGCGGAAGAUGUAACGGGGCUAAACCAUGCACCGAAGCUGCGGCAGCGACGCUGAUGCGUUGUUGGGUAGGGGAGCGUUCUGUAAGCCUGCGAAGGUGGCCUGUGAGGGUUGCUGGAGGUAUCAGAAGUGCGAAUGCUGACAUAAGUAACGAUAAAGCGGGUGAAAAGCCCGCUCGCCGGAAGACCAAGGGUUCCUGUCCAACGUUAAUCGGGGCAGGGUGAGUCGACCCCUAAGGCGAGGCCGAAAGGCGUAGUCGAUGGGAAACGGGUUAAUAUUCCCGUACUUGGUGUUACUGCGAAGGGGGGACGGAGAAGGCUAUGUUGGCCGGGCGACGGUUGUCCCGGUUUAAGCGUGUAGGUGUGUGUUCCAGGUAAAUCCGGUUCACUUUAACACUGAGGCGUGAUGACGAGGCACUACGGUGCUGAAGCAACAAAUGCCCUGCUUCCAGGAAAAGCCUCUAAGCAUCAGGUAACAUCAAAUCGUACCCCAAACCGACACAGGUGGUCAGGUAGAGAAUACCAAGGCGCUUGAGAGAACUCGGGUGAAGGAACUAGGCAAAAUGGUGCCGUAACUUCGGGAGAAGGCACGCUGACAUGUAGGUGAAGUGAUUUACUCACGGAGCUGAAGUCAGUCGAAGAUACCAGCUGGCUGCAACUGUUUAUUAAAAACACAGCACUGUGCAAACACGAAAGUGGACGUAUACGGUGUGACGCCUGCCCGGUGCCGGAAGGUUAAUUGAUGGGGUCAGCGCAAGCGAAGCUCCUGAUCGAAGCCCCGGUAAACGGCGGCCGUAACUAUAACGGUCCUAAGGUAGCGAAAUUCCUUGUCGGGUAAGUUCCGACCUGCACGAAUGGCGUAAUGAUGGCCAGGCUGUCUCCACCCGAGACUCAGUGAAAUUGAACUCGCUGUGAAGAUGCAGUGUACCCGCGGCAAGACGGAAAGACCCCGUGAACCUUUACUAUAGCUUGACACUGAACAUUGAGCCUUGAUGUGUAG
rnacentral:rRNA from 1 species